CAGCAGCCGCGGGAAUACGUAGGUGGCAAGCGUUGUCCGGAAUUAUUGGGCGUAAGGGCUCGCAGGCGGUUUCUUAAGUCUGAUGUGAAAGCCCCCGGCUCAACCGGGGAGGGUCAUUGGAAACUGGGAAACUUGAGUGCAGAAGAGGAGAGUGGGAUUCCACGUGUAGCGGUGAAAUGCGUAGAGAUGUGGAGGAACACCAGUGGCGAAGGCGACUCUCUGGUCUGUAACUGACGCUGAGGAGCGAAAGCGUGGGGAGCGAACAGGAUUAGAUACCCGUGUAGUCCCUGUCUCUUAUACA
rnacentral:rRNA from 1 species